rnacentral:rRNA from 1 species
AUUGAACGCUAGCGGGAUGCCUUACACAUGCAAGUCGAACGGAGUGGCGAACGGGUGAGUAAUGUAUCGGAACGUGCCCAGUAGCGGGGGAUAACUAUGCGAAAGCGAAGCUAAUACUGAAUACUAUUGGUGCGGCCGAUACCGGAUUAGCUAGUUGGUGGGGUAACGGCUCACCAAGGCGACGAUCCGUAGCUGGUUUGAGUGGACGACCAGCCACACUGGGACUGAGACACGGCCCAGACUCCUACGGGAGGCAGCAGUGGGGAAUUUUGGACAAUGGGGGAAACCCUGAUCCAGCCAUCCCGCGUGUGCGAUGAAGGCCUUCGGGUUGUAAAGCACUUUUGGCAGGAAAGCGGUACCUGCAGAAUAAGCACCGGCUAACUACGUGCCAGCAGCCGCGGUAAUUC